rnacentral:rRNA from 1 species
CAGUCGCCGCGGUAAUACGUAGGUGGCAAGCGUUGUCCGGAAUUAUUGGGCGUAAAGGGCUCGCAGGCGGUUUCUUAAGUCUGAUGUGAAAGCCCCCGGCUCAACCGGGGAGGGUCAUUGGAAACUGGGAAACUUGAGUGCAGAAGAGGAGAGUGGAAUUCCACGUGUAGCGGUGAAAUGCGUAGAGAUGUGGAGGAACACCAGUGGCGAAGGCGACUCUCUGGUCUGUAACUGACGCUGAGGAGCGAAAGCGUGGGGAGCGAACAGGAUUAGAGACCCCAGUAGUCCCUGUCUCUUAUAU